ensembl:snoRNA small nucleolar RNA SNORA35
CCGCACUGCCAAGUGACUGGACUUCCUCUAUCGUGGUUUUCCAAUCUCAUUCCAGUGCCAGAGCGAUCCUCAGUUUGCAGAAGGGUUGAGCUAAACCAAUGGUUCCCCCCUUUCGAAGGCUGAGAACAUUA